GCGGGUAUGGUUCAGUGGCAGAACGAGACCUUCCCAAGGUUUAGACACGGGUUCGAUUCCCGUUACCCGCU
rnacentral:tRNA from 1 species